rnacentral:rRNA from 1 species
UACGAAGGGGGCUAGCGUUGUUCGGAUUUAUUGGGCGUAAAGCGCGCGCAGGCGGCCUUUUAAGUCUGAUGUGAAAGCCCACGGCUCAACCGUGGAAGGUCAUUGGAAACUGAGAGGCUUGAGUACAGAAGAGGAAAGCGGAAUUCCACGUGUAGCGGUGAAAUGCGUAGAGAUGUGGAGGAACACCAGUGGCGAAGGCGGCUUUCUGGUCUGUAACUGACGCUGAGGCGCGAAAGCGUGGGGAGCAAACAGG